CAGCGGCAGUGUCUACUAACUUUUAGGGCUUUGGUCCAGAUUGGUGAGGUCUAUACCUUAUUUGAUACACCAAGUCUAUUGGAUGAAUUUUUGCUGAAAAUAACUGAAGGUUUUAUCACGUCAAGGUUGGACUCUAUGCAGGUACGAUUUCUUGUAUGGUGAGUACUUUCUGUCCACCUAUUGGGAAUCAAUAUAUUUUGAGACUUCAUUUACUAAGAGAAAUUGACACUUCCAAAUUUCUCUUUCCUUACUGGGUAUUUGUUGCAAGCUAGAUUUCUAGACGACCUAUCAAAAAAUCCAUUGGAUAGUGUUGAACUUCUUCAGGAUCAGCUGGAAUGUUUUCCAUACCUCUAUAAAUUCCAGAGUUGGCAUCUUGUGGCGUUGAUGUUCACCAGCCGAGUAGACAUGAUAGGAUGCAGGACAAUGCAUCACAUGAUAGAGUCAAUCCAAUUAAGGUAAUUGAUGGUUCAUUUGAAUUAAGAAAAAGGUAUCAAGGUGCGACGUGUUUUACAUGUUCCCAUUCUUUAGGGUGCGAUUGUGUUCUCCAACAUUGUAACAACAGUAUCUCCAUCUUUCUCUUCCUGCCCCGACUCUCUCUCUAUCUCUCCGCCCUGAUUUCGCUCAAAAUAUGAUCACAUGGGGGCUGAAAUGGCUGACCUUGUUCAGGAGGUUUGAUUGGAUUACUGUGUGGGAUAGAGAAAUUGGAUUCUUCAAAAGGGUAUAAAAUAUCAACUUAUGUAUAUUGGCGGAUUCGUCAGCAACUGAAGUAUAGAAGCCUCAGAAGAACCAGCUCCUACUACCAACAUCACCCAGCCAACUAGUACAGAAGAUAGACUCUGUUGCAAGUUCUAUUAUCAAUAUUAUUUCCACCUUUAAGUUCUGAACAUGAAGAACAUCAUUGUUGUUAUUUGCUGCAAAUUUAUUUAUUUAUUUAUUAUAUAUUUGUGGAUCUUUUUUUGACUGGAUUAAGUGGGCCUGGGUUGUAUUAUUAGAGUGGUUCUUUCACCUGCAACAUUAUAAAUAAAGUGGUGUAGAGAGAUCUUUUUACACUUUUUCUUC